AAGGGUUUUCAUUAAUAAAGAAGGUAGCAGAUACAUAAGGCAAGCAAGCACCAUAUUACAUAAUAUAAGAAGCAGAGAGAAGGAUCAGAUACAUCACUGAUAGAUUAAAGAUAAGAAGAGCAGAUGAAGACUGGUGAUUAUGGGGGAUCGAACCAGAACUGAGCAAGGCGAGGACCUAAGGGAUGGCUAAGGGACAGUAAGGCUGAGCAUUUAUCUCUUAGAGCAGCAGAUAUGUAUCCCAUUAUACGAACAGGCGGCAGCGUCAAACCGUCAUGUAACCGUCUAUUCCUCUCAUUCCAGAGCUCAUAGAUAGCAGCCUGCCAUACUUGAAGAAUUGCCAGUUUAACCAUAGAAUCCGAGUGGGCAUUAGGGAGCCAUAGCAAGAUAUCAGUCCACACCAGGGGCACUGAAGGCAAGUGAAACCUCCGAAGCAUUGAUCGCCACACCACUCCAGAGAAAGAGCAUUCAAAGAAUAGAUGAUUGCGCGAUUCAUCUCCUUCUCCACAUAACAAACAAAUAGGUUCCAGAUCAACAUUCCAAGAGACAAGGCGAUCAAAGGUUGGAUUUCUAUUUAGAAUAAAUAGCCAAGUAGUAGUUGAAUGCCUAGGAACUGAAGCCUUAUGCCACACCAAAGGAGCCCAAUGCUUUUGAGGCAAUGACCUUCUGAUAACGUUGAAAACCUGCUUGGAGCAGAAACUUUUACAUUUCGAUCCAUUCACUGACCAAACCGCCUGGUCUGAGCCUGUAGUCAAGUGCAGAGUUGUGAUAUAGGAUAGAAGCAGAACUAGAUUCUCUGAUCUUGCAUUUGGAAGCGUCCAUCCAUUACCCACUACAAAAAAAGUCUACAUUGAUAGCAUAUUAUUAUAGCACGUUUUACUGAACUGCUAUCGUUGAUGAUUCAAAAUUGUUCGUAUUAUAUAAUAGCAUUAGAUAAACGCUAUGAUAGAGUAAAACCUAAAAUAGCACUUAAUUAAUGUUGUUUUAAAAAUUAAGCGAGCGAGAAAAUAAAAUCAUUGAUUCCGCCAAUAUUUAUUGGAAAAUGCGCCAAAAACAUUACUUAAUCAGCUUCAAAAAUGCUAUCAAAGACAUAUAAUAGCAUUUUUCUAACGCUAAGAAAAACUAAUUGAACCCCUAAACCCUAAACAUGGUUUCAAACUCUAAACUCUAAAGAUAACCCUUAAAACUCUAAUCUUUUCAUACUAUAACUUUAAAUCUUUAAAUUAAACUAAAAAUUUAAUCUUCUUAAUCUUAAACUAUAUUUUUCUAAACACAAAUCUUUAAUCUUUAAUCAAACUCUUUAUCAUGAAUCUUAACUUCAAACAUAAUCUAUACAUUCAAUACUCUAGAAAUAUUUAUAACUAAGUCUCACCACUAGAUUAAUAAUUAAUAAUUAAUAUAUUUAAUAAUUCAUUAUAACAUUUACUACCACUAAAUUAAAAAUUUAAAUUACAAACCUUAUAUCUAAACUCCAAACCAUAUUCGGAUAUUCCUCAAACCCCAUCUGAACCCUAUGUACUAACCAUAAAUUAUAAAUAUACCCAGUAAAACUAAUAUUUUCUAACUUAAACACCAAAUCUUAACACAUAAACUACAAAUCUAAUUUUUAAAAUUUUAUUCUCAAAUUUCACUAUAAACUAAACAUAAACUCUAAAUAUUCUUUUUUAAAACUGAUAUAAUCAAAAUAUACUUAUUAAAUAUAACUCUCAUAUAUGCUAUACACCUUAUAUAAUAAACACUAAACUUUAAACUAAACUCUAAUCACUAUAAAUUAAUCUUAAACUUUAAAAUUAAAUUUCAAUACUAUAUCCCAAUAUCAAUCACAAAGUUUAAAUUUUUAAAUAUAAAUCUAAACAAUUUAAAUUGUGAAUUCUAAAUCUUAUAUUUUUUUCUCAAAAUAAUUCAUAUUAACGAAAAUUUAUCAUAAAUAUUUUUUUAAUAUUAAAAACAAAAUAGAAUAAGUAAUCAAUGGUGUUAAAAAAAGAAUAGGAAAACAAAUACAUAACAUCUGAUUGGUCAAUAGAAAGUAGCCUAUCACAUAGAAGGGUGAGGAUCAUGCUUUGUGUAACCACAACCAUUGAUAAAAAUGAAUCUAACGGACCACAAUGCACUAAGAUAAAAAAAAUACACUUUUUCUUCUCAUCUCUUUCUUUCUUCCUCUCCUCUGACUUCUUCGUAUCCUCUAAUCUAUCUCUCAAUAUGCCUCCUCCGUGAAUCUAAACUGUCUCAACAGCCAACACCAUCACCUCCGACAGAAAUGCAGAUUUAAAACAAGAAGAAGAUAGGAAACAGAUCGGGAGGGAGGAGUCUGAAGAAGCUUGACAGCAGAGGAGGUAGAAGAAUCGUGAUGGUGGAGGAAUAAAAAGCCUGACGGCGGAGAAGGCAUGGCCAGCAUAUAAGUUCGUCGCUCAGCCGUAACACCGGUGGCUCUACCACCAGAUUGAGUCUUCGCUUCAGCCAUGGCAUUCGGAGCCGGUGGAGGUGGAGGUGGAGGUGUAAAAACCUGAUGGAGUUGACGAAGUCUCAUGGAGGAGAGGAUGCGGCUGGAUUCUUCUUUUCUGUUUUUAGGUUUAGCUUUUUUUAUUUGGUUUAGUUUAAACCGAGUUGGAAUUGUAGUGGUUUGACUUUAGCUUUUAAUUUCUGGUUUAAUUUUGUAAACCGGAAUUUAUUUGUAAACCAAUCUUAAUUCAUAAAUAAAAUUUAUUUUAUUUUUAA